rnacentral:lncRNA from 1 species
AUCGUUCCAGGACCCCGGGGACAGUACAGAGGAGCAACUCCCGGGGGGAGCUGGUGAGGAGGACUACUCCUAGCCCCGAAGGGGCUAACCAACGGCUUCCUAGUGACAAGGUGGUGGGCUAACCUUGGACCAGGAGCUAUAGUCAAGAGGAUAGCAGUAUAGGAGGGAUCUUCUGACGAUUUCAUGGACUG